GGGCAGACCUCCUCGGGUCCUCCGGCGCUUCGGUCUCCGGAGACGCCCGGCCUCCUGAAGGGUUCGGCUUGUCCUCCUCUGGCGCUCAGCUCCCUCUGGCGGCCGGGCUGGCAGGACCUCAGCGCCCAGCCCUUCCGUCUUGUUACGUCCAGGGUCUCACUCUGUGUCUCAGGCUGGAGUACAGUGGUGCAAUUGUAGAUGGCUGCAGCCCUCGACCUCCUGGGCUCAAGUGAUCCUCCUGCCUUAGCCUCUCGAGUAGCUGGGAGUACAGAUGCACACCACCACACCCAGCCUAGAAUGAAGAAACCUGCAGUUGGGAAGCAUGAAUUUACCACCUAUUAAGAUCUGGCUGCUGUGUGGAGAAAGAGUGAAGAUACGGAAGUUGGAGGUUCUCGUAGCAAUGCAGAUCCCCUUUUAUUUUUCAGAAUUGUGGCUUGCAUUGUAAGAGGAGCCUGUGAAUUCAGAGGCAAGUCUGCUGAGGACCGAAUGUUCCUGUCCAUAAAAACAGAAGUCUGGCCUGGGCUCCUCUCUUGGGUGAAUUUGCAAUGCCAGAUCCUCUCUAUCAGUUUGGUUUUGUUUCUUGUAUCUCUGGGAAGGCAGGCAGACAGCACGGUCACCUGUGAAUGCAGCUACAAUUGGCUUAGCUGCCUCACUGAUAAAUGUGCCCCCAGUAAGCUACAAAGGGAUUACCAGCGUUCUCAGCAGCUAAAGGAACUGGUGAAGAUUUCCCCAGCAAAAAGUAGAAGCUCAGUGUUUCAUAGAUGAAGACUGGGGAGAUUGCAAAAGACCCAUCCAGCAGUGGUUCUCAGACCUCAGUGUGCAUCAGAAUCACCUGGAAGGCUUGUGAAAACACGUAUUGCUGGGCCACACCCCCAGAAUUUCUGGAUCAGUAAAGCUGGGAUUCUUACUUUGAGUAGCCAACUUGCAGAAUACAAUAGAAUUUUGGGAGGAGCCCCUCGAUGCCUGGCUUUACUGUUGGAGAGACAGUACAGUAUACACCAGAUGACUUAUUUGUGAACCAUGGAAACGUUUGGAAAAGAGUCUCACUUUGUCGCCCAGGCUGGAGUACAGUGGUGCGAUCUUGGCUCUCUGCAACCUCUGCCUCCCAGGUUCAAGUAAUUCUCCUGCCUCAGCCUCCCGAGUAGCUGGUACUACAGGCACACAUUUGUAGAGAUGGUGUUUCCCCAUGUCAUCCAGGCUGGUCUGGAACUCCUGGGAUCAAGUAAUCCACCCGCCUCGGCCUCCCAAAGUGCUGGGAUUACAGACGUGAGCCACCACGCCCUGCCAAUAAAAAGAUUAUCUCCAGAUGCUGGAAUGACCAGUAAUUUAUUUUCUUCCUUUUUUUUUGUCUGCACUUUCUACCAUAAUCAUAUGUUAGCUUCUUACUAAGAAGAAAAGUCAAUGUUAUUUCCCUGAAAAAGUAAUGUUGUUUGGUUAUUAAACAAAUUUAAUUUUCUAAACAAGAGUACGACAGGUAAACUGCCUACCUUAAAAGCAAACGAACACAAAUAAAUAAACUAACCAUCUUCC
rnacentral:lncRNA from 1 species